AUAAAAUCAGAGAUGACUCUCGGCAACGGAUAUCUAGGCUCUUGCCACGAUGAAGAACGUAGCGAAAUGCGAUACUUGGUGUGAAUUGCAGAAUCCCGUGAACCAUCAAGUUUUUGAACGCAAGUUGCGCCCGAGGCCACCAGGCCAAGGGCACGCCUGCCUGG
rnacentral:rRNA from 1 species